rnacentral:SRP_RNA from 1 species
GCCGGGCGUGGUGGUGGGCGCCUGUAAUCCCAGCUCCUCGGGAGGCUGAGGCAGGAGAAUUGCUUGAACCCAGGAGACGGAGGUUGCAGUGAGCUGAGUUUGUGUCACUGCACUCCAGCCUGGGUGACAGAGCAAGACUCUAUCUCAA